rnacentral:rRNA from 1 species
UGGGGAAUUUUGGACAAUGGGCGAAAGCCUGAUCCAGCCAUGCCGCGUGAGUGAAGAAGGCCUUCGGGUUGUAAAGCUCUUUUAGUCGGAAAGAAAGAGUUGCAAUGAAUAAUUGUGAUUUAUGACGGUACCGACAGAAAAAGCACCGACUAACUACGUGCCAGCAGCCGCGGUAAUACGUAGGGUGCGAGCGUUAAUCGGAAUUACUGGGCGUAAAGGGUGCGCAGGCGGUCUUGCAAGUCAGAUGUGAAAGCCCCGGGCUUAACCUGGGAAUUGCGUUUGAAACUACAAGGCUAGAGUGCAGCAGAGGGGAGUGGAAUUCCAUGUGUAGCAGUGAAAUGCGUAGAGAUGUGGAAGAACACCGAUGGCGAAGGCAGCUCCCUGGGUUGACACUGACGCUCAUGCACGAAAGCGUGGGGAGCAAACA